AGCGGGCUUCCGGCGACGCGGCGAAUGGCCUCUUUCAGGGCCGCGUUCGGGGCCUCGCUCGCGGUUGCCCGAACCCGGCCACAGUGUGUCGGUCUCGCGCUUCCGUCGUCCGCGCCCUGGUCCGCCUGGGCUGCUGCCAUGGAGCCCACGCCGCGUUGGCUGGCGGGGCUGCGCUUUGACAACCGCGCCCUGCGUGCGCUGCCAGUAGAGACGCCGCCGCCCGGGCCGGAGGACUCCCUGUCCACCCCGCGGCCGGUGCCGGGAGCCUGCUUCAGCCGUGCACGGCCGGCCCCGCUGCGGCGGCCGCGCCUGGUGGCGCUGUCGGAGCCCGCACUGGCGCUGCUGGGGCUCGAGGCCAGCGAGGAGGCCGAGGUCGAGGCCGAAGCUGCGCUCUUCUUCAGCGGCAAUGCGCUGCUGCCGGGCACCGAGCCCGCCGCGCACUGCUACUGUGGACACCAGUUCGGUCAGUUCGCUGGGCAGUUGGGCGACGGCGCCGCCAUGUACCUGGGCGAGGUGUGCACAGCGGCCGGCGAGCGCUGGGAGCUGCAGCUCAAAGGCGCCGGCCCCACGCCCUUCUCCAGACAAGCUGAUGGUCGCAAAGUCCUGCGGUCAAGCAUCCGUGAGUUCCUGUGCAGCGAAGCCAUGUUUCACCUGGGGAUCCCCACCACGAGGGCCGGGGCCUGCGUCACGUCUGAGUCCACAGUGAUGAGAGACGUGUUCUAUGAUGGUAAUCCAAAAUAUGAAAAGUGCACGGUUGUGUUGCGUAUAGCUCCCACUUUCAUAAGAUUCGGCUCCUUUGAAAUUUUUAAGCCUCCUGAUGAACUCACAGGGCGUGCAGGCCCUAGCAUGGGACGGAAUGAUAUCCGAGUCCAGAUGCUUGACUAUGUGAUCAGCUCUUUCUACCCUGAAAUUCAGGCUGCCCAUACCUGCGACACUGACAACAGACAGAGGAACGCUGCCUUUUUCAGAGAGGUGACACGGCGAACAGCACGGAUGGUGGCUGAAUGGCAGUGUGUUGGCUUUUGCCAUGGCGUGCUCAACACUGACAACAUGAGCAUCGUGGGGCUUACUAUCGACUACGGACCCUUUGGCUUCCUGGACAGGUACGACCCUGAUCAUGUAUGUAAUGCCUCUGACAAUGCUGGGCGCUACACAUACAGUAAGCAGCCCCAGGUAUGCAAGUGGAAUCUGCAGAAACUAGCUGAAGCACUAGAGCCUGAACUGCCCCUUGUGCUGGCUGAGGCCAUUCUAAAAGAGGAGUUUGACAGCGAGUUCCAAAGGCACUAUCUACAGAAAAUGCGCAAGAAGCUGGGCCUUAUUCGAGUGGAGAAGGAAGAAGAUGGGACACUUGUGGCCAAGCUUCUGGAGACCAUGCAUCUGACUGGUGCUGACUUCACUAACACCUUCUGUGUUCUGAGCUCCUUCCCGGCUGAACCCUCAGACUCAGCAGAGUUCCUAACCAGGCUGACCUCCCAGUGUGCCUCUCUGGAAGAGCUAAGGCUUGCCUUCAGACCUCAGAUGGACCCCCGGCAGCUCUCUAUGAUGCUGAUGCUUGCACAGUCGAACCCACAGCUCUUUGCACUCAUUGGCACUCAAGCAAAUGUCACAAAAGAGCUUGAACGUGUGGAGCACCAGUCACGGCUAGGACAGCUGAGCCCCUCCGAACUGCAGAGCAAGAACAGAGACCACUGGGAAACUUGGCUACAGGAAUACAGCUAGGAAUUUGAUUCCAGAGACCGUCUGGACAAGGAGAAGGAGGGUGUCGUAGACACUGCUGCCUGGCAGGCAGAACGUGUACGCGUCAUGCAUGCCAACAACCCCAAGUACGUCCUAAGGAACUAUAUUGCACAGAAUGCCAUUGAAGCUGCUGAAAAUGGAGACUUCUCAGAGGUCAGGCGUGUCCUGAAGCUGCUAGAGUCUCCCUACCACAGUGAAGAGGCCACAGGCCCUGAAGCAGCGGCAAGGACCAGUGACGAGCAAUCUUCAUACAGUAGCAGGCCACCACUCUGGGCAGCAGAGCUCUGCGUAACAUGAUCCUCAUAAAGGCCUCGGUGUCCUCCACAUGUCUGGAGCCUCCCGAGGCCUCCCAAGUGCUGCUGAGUUGCUGAGACCGCUGGAUGCCUGUCCUCAGUCUCUCCAUGACGGCAGAGGUCUCCAGUCAAAACCUGACCCAUCUCUGUCUGAUACCACCUUAGCAGUACUGCCCUGGCCUAGCAGUCAACAUGCCCCGCAGCACACAGUGCUUCAUGCUAGGUUAUCAGCCUCAUGUUUGUAAGCAAUGCAAACAGGCCUAAGUAAGCCGUGCGCCCUGUUUGUGCAUCUUGCCCCAAAGGGCAGGGCUGGGCUUCACACCUGUUCAGUCUCCCAGGCCUCUAAUAAAGCAGCUUCUUCAGG